GGCGGCGUAGCCAAGGGGUCCAAGGCGCUGGUGCGCAACACCAGUAUUCGUUGGUUCGAAUCCAACCGCCGCCU
rnacentral:tRNA from 1 species